rnacentral:rRNA from 1 species
CUUCUGAAUGUGACCUCGGAUCAGGAAGGAAAACCAGGC